rnacentral:rRNA from 1 species
AGCGAACGCUGGCGGCAGGCCUAACACAUGCAAGUCGAACGAACUCUUCGGAGUUAGUGGCGGACGGGUGAGUAACACGUGGGAACGUGCCUUUAGGUUCGGAAUAACUCAGGGAAACUUGUGCUAAUACCGAAUGUGCCCUUCGGGGGAAAGAUUUAUCGCCUUUAGAGCGGCCCGCGUCUGAUUAGCUAGUUGGUGAGGUAAAGGCUCACCAAGGCGACGAUCAGUAGCUGGUCUGAGAGGAUGAUCAGCCACAUUGGGACUGAGACACGGCCCAAACUCCUACGGGAGGCAGCAGUGGGGGAUCUUGCGAAAUGGGCGAAAGCAUGACGCAGCCAUGCCGGGUGAAUGAUGAAGGUCUUAGGAUUGUAAAAUUCUUUCACCGGGGACGAUAAUGACGGUACCCGGAGAAGAAGCCCCGGCUAACUUCGUG